rnacentral:lncRNA from 1 species
UUAUAUCCCUUAACGACUUUACCUAAUAGAUUAGUCACUCGUGAAUGGCCAACUCAGAGAAAAAAAGACCAUAGGUGUGUCGACAAAAUGCCCAUUUCAUAUUAUCGGGAUGAGGUCGAAUUUCAGGAUGUCACACCUAUAAUAAAGAUGUCAUCAACAUAUAUACAAGUAGAUUGAUGAUGUACCUUGACUCCAUGUGAACAAGGCAUAGUUGUGUCUAGAUUGUCGGAAUUUGAUAGCUAUAAGUGCACUGCUAAAUUUGGCAUUGUUGAUGCC